rnacentral:rRNA from 1 species
AAUGGGGGCAACCCUGAUCCAGCCAUGCCGCGUGGACGAUGAAGGCCUUAGGGUUGUAAAGUCCUUUCACCGGUGAAGAUAAUGACGGUAGCCGGAGAAGAAGCCCCGGCUAACUCCGUGCCAGCAGCCGCGGUAAUACGGAGGGGGCUAGCGUUGUUCGGAAUUACUGGGCGUAAAGCGCGCGUAGGCGGAUUGUUAAGUCGGGGGUGAAAUCCCGGGGCUCAACCCCGGAACUGCCUUCGAUACUGGCAAUCUAGAGGUCGAGAGAAGUGAGUGGAAUUCCGAGUGUAGAGGUGAAAUUCGUAGAUAUUCGGAGGAACACCAGUGGCGAAGGCGGCUCACUGGCUCGAUACUGACGCUGAGGUGCGAAAGCGUGGGGAGCAAACAGGAUU